rnacentral:misc_RNA from 1 species
ACAAACUUGGUCAUUUAGAGGAAGUAAAAGUCGUAACAAGGUUUCCGUAGGUGAACCUGCGGAAGGAUCAUUAUUGAGUACUUGGGUUUUUCAUUUUAAAUGAAAAGCUCGACCUCUCCCAAACCCUUUGUUUAAAUAAUUAUUUUGUUGCUUUGGUAGAUGUUGGAGUCAUUUCCACUACCAAUAGCCUCUAUUAAAUUCUUCUUGAUCAAAACAUUGAAGUCUAAAUUUUUAAUUAAAUUAAUUAAAACUUUCAACAACGGAUCUCUUGGUUCUGGCAUCGAUGAAGAACGCAGC